rnacentral:rRNA from 1 species
UACGUAGGGCGCAAGCGUUGUCCGGAAUUAUUGGGCGUAAAGAGCUCGUAGGCGGUUUGUCGCGUCUGCUGUUGAAAAGCCCGGGGCUCAACCCCGGGUCUGCAGUGGGUACGGGCAGACUAGAGUGCAGUAGGGGAGACUGGAAUUCCUGGUGUAGCGGUGAAAUGCGCAGAUAUCAGGAGGAACACCGAUGGCGAAGGCAGGUCUCUGGGCUGUUACUGACGCUGAGGAGCGAAAGCAUGGGGAGCGAACAGGAUUAAUACCCGGGGUAGUCC